AGGCAGCAGUUGGAGCUGGGUGAGAAUAUCUCCGACAUGCCUUCCCAGGCAAUACCCACUGUUCAGUCGGUAGUUUCUUAACAAUUUAUAAAACAAGAGAAAAUUUAAUUGUGAACUUGUUUACAGAGAUUCAAAUGGAUUAUUACUGAGAAAUUUGUUGAUCUGUUGGAUGCUGAGCAUGUGUUGUGUUCUGGACUGUGUCAAAAUUCAGUCAUUUGUUUUUAUAGGAUUUACUUUGAUAUCAUCUGGAAUUACCAUUUUACCGAUAUCUGUGAAUUGAUAUAAUGGAUAUCUUCAUUAUAUAGCUCUUGAGAUUUUACAUGAGGAACUAACAACAUCUUACUCUAACUUUAUCAGCUCUUAGAGAUAUAUUUAAAUCCAAAAGUUCCCAAUUUACGAAAGUAGGGUAUUGUUCUUCAAUAGACAACGUGUAUAAGUAUUAUUAUCUAACCAUUUACAGUGUGCCAACAUGUACAUGUAUCUAUAUGGAUAUAAAUGUGUGAAAAAGAGAUAUUCUCAAUAUUUAUCAAUUUUGAUCUAAUACAAUGGUUUUGAUGGAGCCUAAGUAAUACAUACAUUAAGGUUUUUUUUUAUCGAGCAUUCAUACACUUAUCCACAUAUCAGAUGUAAUAAUGAAGCUAUUAAAAGUUUGCAUUUACUGCUUUUUAUAUAAACUGUAUCACUUAAUAUUCCCUUAAGUUAUAUUUUACAUCUCAAACCACUCAACAAAAGUUUAUAUCAAAUGAACAAUGCUCACAGUAAACUCAUUUUAAUAAGCUGUUACUGGGUUACAAUGCAUGAAGCUCAUAUUGAAGUGUCUGCAUGUAUAGCUGCAGUGAUUCUUGGAUUUUGUGCAAGAAUGAUUUGUAGAGAGGUCUAUCCAUUUCAUAUCAGUUUUAUUGACUGUAAUAUCAACAUUGAAAUAAAAGAAAACUGAAA
rnacentral:misc_RNA from 1 species